CCUACGGGUGGCAGCAGUGGGGAAUAUUUGGCAAUGGGCGCAAGCCUGACCCAGCAACGCCGCGUGCAGGAAGAAGGCUUUCGGGUUGUAAACUUCUUUUGUCAGGGACGAAGCAAGUGACGGUACCUGACGAAUAAGCCACGGCGAACUACGUGACAGCAGCCGCGGUAAUACGUAGGUGGCAAGCGUUAUCCGGAGUUACUGGGUGUAAAGGGCGUGUAGGCGGAACUGCAAGUCAGAUGUGAAAACCACGGGCUCAACAUGUGGCCUGCAUUUGAAACUGUAGUUCGUGAGAACUGGAGAGGCAGACGGAAUUCCUAGUGUAGCAGUGAAAUGCGUAGAUAUUAGGAGGAACACCAGUGGCGAAGGCGGGCUGCUGGACAGCAACUGACGCUGAGGCGCGAAAGCGUGGGGAGCAAACAGGAUUAUAUACCCGGGUAGUC
rnacentral:rRNA from 1 species